rnacentral:lncRNA from 1 species
CCAAACCAGUAAGAAGAGAGAGAAAAUAAAAACAAAACCCUAGAGAGAGAAAAUCAAAGAAAAAGUGUGAAUUUUCAAGGAAAUUAAGUGAAAAAGGUGAGAUUUUUUCUAUUAAGCUUGAGUUUUCUUAUUCCCAAGCAUUUCUCUUUAUUUUCCAUGAUUAAAUUACAUGUUUUCAUGAUGAAUUCAAUUCUGAAAAAAUGGGUUAGGAGAGAGAAAGUUGUUGGAUUUAUUUGAUUUUAAUUUAUGUUAGUGUUUUUAGUUAGUUUAGCAUAUUUAGAAACAAAACAACAAGAAAAGAAUUUAUUUUCUCCCCCAACCAUUAAUGGCUGAAUUUACCAUGUAGUGAGUGAGGAUGAGUUUGAUUUUAUUCUAGGAGAAUUGGUUAAGGAAUAAUGAAUUAUGAGCCUAGAAAAAUAAUGGGAAUUUUCGGAGCAAAAAUACGAAUUUUUACCCACUAGGGGUAUUUUCGUAAUUUACUAUCGAGACUGAUAAUUUGCACCACACUGAGGGACAUUAAGUUAAUUUGGGUGCAAUUGAGAUAUAGAAACUGAAAAGAAUUAAAUUGGAGUUUAAACGAACGCGUUAGGAAUUUAAUCGGGUGAUAAGACGAAUUAGGCCAAUACUGAGUUUAGAUAGUUACCAGUGCAUUUUUGUAUUCCAUAUCAUGCAUUAUUGGUCGAAAUUAGUUUAAUUUUGAUUUAGUACCAACUUGGUGAAAUUCUCGAUUUUGUACUGUGUCAAGGUGGUGAGUCCUCCGAUAAAGGCAAGAAAAUUGCAUCCGAGGACUAGUAGACAGAGUGCUUCAAAAGUCUGCAUUUUAGACAUUGUGAGUAAACUUAUUGUUAUUUUAAUUAUCUAGGGUGGUUUUUAGAUGCUUUCAUGAAUUCUAUGGAAAAAGAAAUUUAAAAAGGUAAAUUUUCAUGUUUUAUGAAUAAAUGAGUUUCAAUGAAAUUAAUUUAUAAAUUGUUUUGUAAUUAAUAAUGAUUUUGAAAAAUAAAGUGCAUGAAGAUUGUUAAUUGUGACAAUUUGAUUGUUUAAAUUGACUGGCUUAUGAUAAAUCGAGCAUGAUUGGCUAGUUGGCAAUUGUAUUAAAAUGCGAAUUGUUUGGUUGCCUUGAAAAACUGCGAAUUACAAAAUUACCAUAUCAUGUUAUUGAGUUUUAUUAUAUGGUGGAUUAUAUAUUAAUCAAUCACCGCAGUAGGGGGUUUCUGUGGACCAGCCUUUUAGAGGGGCACUGUAAACCCCAUUAUAUUCUUACCUUGAACGGAGAGGCGCGUAGGGUAUCUCCUGGGGUAAAGCUUAAGGUUCACUUCACGCUAAACCACCACGUGAAGGGGAACUCAGCCAACGCCAAGGAACGACUAUGUUUUCAAAACAAAAAUAUGAUUUAUGUGAAAUGUGAAUUUUAAUAGCCUUGACGGUCUCGGUAGGAUGCCUCGGCCAAGGUGUCCUCGAGAAUAGAUUUAUGGCACAAGCUUAGAUUUUUGUGAGAUUCAUAAGCCUUUUUACGUAUUUUGAACGAGAUGUGUUCUAAUUGUAUAACCCAGUUUAUGAUGAUUUACUUUAUUGUCUCCAUGUACUCAACUCUAGAUGUUUAUGAUGAUGUCUAUUUACUCAUUGGAAUUUUAUAAUCUCACCACCCUCAUUUUCAUCCAUUUCAGGUUCAGUAUAGACUGUAGAUAGCUGAUCUCAUCGAGGACUACAGUGGGAUCUGCAUUUUUCAAACCGUAGGUUCACAGUCCUCUUUACUUUUGUUUAUUCGGGGGCACUCUUGUUAUUGUAAAUUAAAUUAAAUAUUUUGGCUUAUUGUAUUUAAGUAUGUAUAAAUUUAUUUAGCUUUUACGCUAUAAAAAUUAUUCACGUAUAACUCUAUAAAUAUUGUUUUAUAAGAAAAUAGAAUAUUUUACUUAAUAUUUUUUUUAUUUUCUUAUUAUAUUCAAAUAAUCAUAAUUUCGUUUUAAAUGAAGAUUUUAGACUUUUAAACUCAUUUUGAAUAUGAAUU